GUGGUUAUGAGUUAAAGGUAGACCUACAGAUUUCCGGUCUGGAUAUGUCAGUUCAAGUCUGACUAGCCGCG
rfam:Ophiocordyceps sinensis CO18 unplaced genomic scaffold OCS_Scf_4409, whole genome shotgun sequence.